AACAGCUCAGCUGCUCAGGUACCAUCGGAUUAACCGUUUCCGUCAAUUCUGUGAACGCCGUGCUAUCAUUGAAGCGUCUGGAGAGAGGGGAGUAAGACAGUCUGAAGUUGAUGUUGUCCCAUGUAACGUCCAUACCACUAAUCGAGUUCACAUAAGUGCCGAAGCGGAUGGCAUUGACGGAACCUAUCAUUGCCUGUUUGAGAGAAUUAACAAUUUGAUUUGUUUAAAUUGAGCUUUAAGCCGUUACCUUGAAGGAGGGUGAAGAUUGAAUGCGAGAGAAUGGGCGGAGUGCUCUAAAACACGUAAAUGCUUGCUUUAAAAUGGUGAGUGAAUGAUAACUGCAGCCGUUACAGGACUGUUGAUAGGCGGCAAUGUAAUCUGAUCGGAAACUCAAGGCAGCGUUGCUCUGUAAGUCCUAAGAAGAGGGGAAGGAACCCUAUGUCCUUAUGGGUCAAAUGUGCAAAUACAUGAAGAACUAUAAGCUCAAUCAAUUGAGAGGCCCAUCUAAUAUGUGAACACCACCAAACAAUAGCGUAGGAAGAAGAUGGAUAAGGACACGUGUCAGAAAAAGGAAUAGGCUUCGCUGACGUGGCACAUUGUAGAGACUUUCUAGUCAACUUUAUUAAUAUAGAUAUAUGUGAAUUAAUAUUUAAAAUAUUUAUGUAGAAAUUAUAAAUAUAAAAUAAAUCUAAAAUCCGCGAUGAUUAGUUGUUGAUGAUUAAACUGAUUAGUAUUUUUUAUAGAGCCAAUUUGGUCAAACUAUCUUUACAAAUAGUUUAUGAAGUUAGAUUUAUGAAAUAAAUUUCAAUGUGAUAUGUUUUUAUACUUCAAUUAUCAGCAAUAUUAGAUAAAAUGUUUGUAAAGACAUGUUUUACAUAUUUCGCAUAGUAUUGUAAAAGUUUUUGACCUGAUGUGCCUCUCACCCUCUCCAAGAGAGGUAAUAUCCAAUUGAAGGUUAAUAAAUCAUCCCAAAAAAGGCAUACGAUUUCUCAUGAACAAAUAGAAAUGAUAACCAUUGAGGCCAAGCAACAACAUAAAAACUUAUGUUUUUCGGUUAUUUUUUGCAAUAAGAAAGGAGCUUAUAUGUUUUAUGAAGCAGAUUCUAAAUGUACCAUCCAAUAGGGGAUCAAAAGUAGAAUUGGAGAAAGGGAUUCUUUCAAAUAGCAGAAAGAAGACAAAGCUUCGGGUCUGUUGAUGACUUUGACUAGAAUCUUGUUAUCUGAUUUGGAGGCGUAAGAUUUCCAUAGAGCGUCUUGUAGUUGGUCUUUUUCUGGAGGAUUGUGGUGGUUUUAUUUUGAUAACUAUUUUCUAUUUUAAAAAUCUGAUCUAUGGUAAUUUUAUUUUAAUCAUGUGUCUCCGUCACAAUCUGCUUUUUUAUUCUGUUAUAAUAAUGAUCGAAGAUAUAAUAAGAAAAAGAAGGAAAAACAUUAGAACAAGCAUAAGUGGAUACAUAGCGAAUGUCGCUAAAACACAAAUGUCUUGGAACACAAAACUUUUGUUACAGGCUGAUCUCAAGAUU